rnacentral:rRNA from 1 species
ACUACGGGAGGCAGCAGUGAGGACUAUUGGUCACUGGCCGUAAGGCUGAACCAGCCAAGUAGCGUGAGGGAAGACUGCCCUCUGGGUUGUAAACCUCUUUUAUGCGGGGAUAAAGGUGUCCACGUGUGGAUGUUUGCAGGUACCGCAUGAAUAAGCACCGGCUAAUUCCGUGCCAGCAGCCGCGGUAAUACGGAAGGUCCGGGCGUGAUCAGGAUUUAUUGGGGUUAAAAGGAGCGUAGGCCGGUCUUUAAGCGUGCUGUGAAAUUCUGAGGCUCAACCAUGAAAGUGCAGUGCAGACUGGAGACCUUGAGUGCGGGAAAGGCAGACGGAAUUCGUGGUGUAGCGGUGAAAUGCGUAGAUAUCACGAGGAACCCCGAUGGCGAAGGCAGCCUGCCGCAGCGUUACUGACGCUGAGGCUCGAAAGCGCGGGUAUCGAACAGGAUUAGAUACCCGAGUAGUC